AACGAACGCUGGCGGCAGGCCUAACACAUGCAAGUCGAGCGCACCUUCGGGUGAGCGGCGGACGGGUUAGUAACGCGUGGGAACGUGCCCUUCUCUACGGAAUAGCCUCUGGAAACGGAGAGUAAUACCGUAUACGCCCUUUGGGGGAAAGAUUUAUCGGAGAAGGAUCGGCCCGCGUUAGAUUAGGUAGUUGGUGGGGUAACGGCCUACCAAGCCUACGAUCUAUAGCUGGUUUUAGAGGAUGAUCAGCAACACUGGGACUGAGACACGGCCCAGACUCCUACGGGAGGCAGCAGUGGGGAAUCUUAGACAAUGGGGGCAACCCUGAUCUAGCCAUGCCGCGUGAGUGAUGAAGGCCUUAGGGUCGUAAAGCUCUUUCGCCUGUGAUGAUAAUGACAGUAGCAGGUAAAGAAACCCCGGCUAACUCCGUGCCAGCA
rnacentral:rRNA from 1 species